GAUGAACGCUGGCGGCGUGCCUAAUACAUGCAAGUCGAGCGAACAGACGAGGAGCUUGCUCCUCUGACGUUAGCGGCGGACGGGUGAGUAACACGUGGAUAACCUACCUAUAAGACUGGGAGAACUUCGGGAAACCGGAGCUAAUACCGGAUAACAUGUUGAACCGCAUGGUUCAACAGUGAAAGACGGUCUUGCUGUCACUUAGAGAUGGAUCCGCGCCGCAUUAGCUAGUUGGUAAGGUAACGGCUUACCAAGGCAACGAUGCGUAGCCGACCUGAGAGGGUGAUCGGCCACACUGGAACUGAGACACGGUCCAGACUCCUACGGGAGGCAGCAGUAGGGAAUCUUCCGCAAUGGGCGAAAGCCUGACGGAGCAACGCCGCGUGAGUGAAGAAGGUCUUCGGAUCGUAAAGCUCUGUUAUUAGGGAAGAACAAAUGUGUAAGUAACUAUGCACGUCUUGACGGUACCUAAUCAGAAAGCCACGGCUAACUACGUG
rnacentral:rRNA from 1 species